UGCAUUAACAAUAAGUUUUUACAACAUNGACUAUGUCGAAUAAAGUUNUAGGUAGAGUUAUGAUAANGACAUUUUNUAUNUAUGUGUNUUGACCAAAUCACGUGCCAGCAGUCGCGGUAAUACGUGGAAGACUAGUGUUAUUCAUCUUUAAUUGGUUUAAAGGGUACCUAGACGGUNUNUUAAGCCCCUAAAGGGUACUUACAGACUAGAGUUUGAUGAGAGGGGGGAAGUACGAGAGAGUGUAGAGAUGAAAUUNUGUCAUACCUUACUUGGAACAGGCAACGGNGAAAGCAACUCCUUAUGUAAAAANUGACGUUGAAGGACGAAGGCUUGGGACACCAACAGGAUUAGAUACCCCAGCAGUCCUUGCAGACAAUGAUGAAUGUCAUAGAUUGGAAUUAAAUAUNUUUUUUUUUUUAAGAUAUCUUUUUGUCUAUAAAUGAAAGUGUAAGCAUUCCACCUCAAGAGUAAUGUGGCAACGCAGAAACUGAAAUCAUUAGACCGUUUCUGAAACCAGUAGUGAAGUAUGUUGUUUAAUUUGGUGACCCGCAAAACACCUUACCACAAUUUGAAUAUUUUUAUGUUUAUAUAAAUACAAGCGUUGCACGGCUGUCUUCAG
rnacentral:rRNA from 1 species